GACGAACGCUGGCGGCGUGCCUAACACAUGCAAGUCGAGCGAAUGAAGUUCCUUCGGGAAUGGAUUUAGCGGCGGACGGGUGAGUAACACGUGGGCAACCUGCCUCAUAGAGGGGAAUAGCCUUCCGAAAGGGAGAUUAACACCGCAUAAGAUUGUAGUAUCGCAUGAUACAGCAAUUAAAGGAGCAAUCCGCUAUGAGAUGGGCCCGCGGCGCAUUAGCUAGUUGGUGAGGUAACGGCUCACCAAGGCGACGAUGCGUAGCCGACCUGAGAGGGUGAUCGGCCACAUUGGGACUGAGACACGGCCCAGACUCCUACGGGAGGCAGCAGUGGGGAAUAUUGCACAAUGGGGGAAACCCUGAUGCAGCAACGCCGCGUGAGUGAUGACGGCCUUCGGGUUGUAAAGCUCUGUCUUCAGGGACGAUAAUGACGGUACCUGAGGAGGAAGCCACGGCUAACUACGUG
rnacentral:rRNA from 1 species